GUUGAGAUUUGAAUGUUUGACAGGGUCUCACUGUCCUGAACUCACUAUGCAAACCAAGAUGGACUCAAUCUCCCAGAGAUCUGCCUGCCUCUGCCUCCCAAAAGCACUUAUCACCUGCCUGGCCAGCCCGUACGCUUUUAAUCCCAGCACUUGGGAAGGGGAAGAAGGCAGAUCUCUGUGAAUUUGAGGCCAGCCUGGUCUACACAGUGAGACCCUGUAUUUAAAAAAAAAGUGGUGUGCAGCGGGGAGUCCAUUAAUUUUGAAGUGUCUGUGUAGGGAGGGGAAUUUUCAUGAACAUCCAGAGUGAACAGGGGCUAACUAUUCUCCAUGACCAGAGGUGAUCUGCCUCUAGAAAGUCAUUUUCUCUGAGGGAGGCCCAAGAUUGCUGACCAGGGCAAGCCAUAGAACUGGGAUGGCUUUCAUCUGUGCCUCCCAUUAGCGGAGGAAGCUCCUCCUGGCAGCCUGGUCCUAGUCAGAGCUCUUUAUAGAGCUGCACACUUGCAAGCUGGGGAAGUGGGAGCCAAGAGAUAAGACUAUAUAGGGGAAGCCUGAAGACGUGAUAGCUUCUCUCAUGCUCCCCACCCCUAUCACCGUGGGUAUGGCCCCUUGCCUCGGAGACACGUGGACCAGCCUCGGUACCAGUGCCUUCUCUUGCUAGUCCGAUGACCUUUGUAAAGUUCCUUAAUAUGUCUGAGGUUCCAGUUCCACUCCAUCAGCUAACUGAGACACUAGUGGCACCCGCCACAACGUGCCUUAUAAACAUGUAAGGAAUUCCAUGGCAGGCUGGAGCCCCUCGUCCUGUGGUGGCCGGAUCUUCUAUUUAGAGUUGCUGGUUGUUGUUCCCAGUUUUCUCCUGGGUGGUUGAUAUGGGCCCCACCCUUCCCGUUAGCCUCUGUGCUCCUCACAUCUGGAUUUGGGUGGGAACAUCUGGCUCAGAAUGAGACAGCUGUCAGGGACGCCCAGUUUGCUGUGGAAACAUCCAAGCUGUCUUGGUGAUCUAGUGUGAUGGAGUGAGGGUAGGGAAGGACCUGGCCCAGGCUCUCAGCAAAUCUCCCGUCAUCACAACUCUCCCCCAGUGGAAAGGAAGUCACCCAGUGCUCCACAGCAGCUGAGAGAGCAGAUUAGAUAUUGUCAGCAGGCCUUGCAUUUGGUGUGGUGGUUACACGAUUCUAAGACUUUGAGUGUGUCUUCAUCAGACAGCUUCCCUAGACUUCGGUAGAACACACCUUUCCCGUUGGCUGCAGGUGCUCUGGGGUUAGAGCUGUCCAGCUUCCAUGGCUCAGCAUGACUGACCUGGGAUGUCUGGCCUUGGGGCGGGGUUUCCUGAGCGAGGUCCUGUGCUGGGAUGGGGACAGUUAGGACUCUGGCCUGCCCUGCACCCUGCCGCCUCCUCCCUGCUCUUCCUGGCCAUCCCUAGCCUGGGCAGAGGAAAUGGUGGAUACCUCUUCUGCUCGGGUGUGGAGGAGGAGGAGGGGCUCCUCUGGCUUCACUCCUGGCCCCGCCCCUAGCUGCUACGUGAGCUUGGACCAGUUUCUUUGCCUUUUGUACAGGAUUCUGCGUGCACUUAAAGGAGCUAAAGGGGCCAGUCAAGCCCUCCCUACACCAACCCCCUACCAAGGAACAGGAGGGUGUACCUGCUCCACUUCCUUCUUGUUAAAGCAGUAUGACACCCAUUCACAGUGUAUUUUUUUUCCACCUUAAAAAUAGCUUUUCUUUUCGUGACUACAUAAACAAUACUUGCUUAUUAAGAAACUGGUGACUGGGGUGUAGAUCUGGUUUUUGGUUUUGGAUUUGGAUUUAUCUUGAUUUGUGUUUUUAGACAGCAUCUCAAAAAAGAAAACUGCAUUUAUAUAAAACACUGAACAAGUGCACACUGUAGCAGCGCAUGCCCUGAAUCCGACAUACAGAGACUGUUAGUGUCACACACCCUGAAUCCGACAUACAGAGGCGGUUAGUGUCACACACCCUGAAUCUGACAUACAGAGACUGUUAGUGUCACACACCCUGAAUCCGACAUACAGAGGAGAGCCAGGGUUACACAGAGAAACCCUGUCAAAACAAAACAAAACAAAGGUUCUUAUCCAGGCUGGCAUAUAUGGAGGUGGAUGGCAGGUGCAGCUUUUAAUCCAUGGCACCAUCUCGGAGCUGGUUAAAAUCACUUGUUGAGUGUUUGGGAACUUGGGUUCCCAGCAAUUACAUGAUGGCUGGCAACCAUUUGUAACUCAAAUUCAAGGGCAUGAAUAUCUUCUUCUGACCCGUGGGCACCAGCUAUGCAUUCAGUGCACUCACAUGCUUGCAGGCAAAACACUCAUACACAUAAAUCU
rnacentral:lncRNA from 1 species